rnacentral:rRNA from 1 species
GAUCCUAGCUCAGGAUGAACGCUGGCGGCGUGCUUAACACAUGCAAGUCGAACGAAGCACUUUUACAGAUUUCUUCGGAAUGAAGUUUUAGCGACUGAGUGGCGGACGGGUGAGUAACGCGUGGGUAACCUGCCUCACACAGGGGGAUAACAGUUGGAAACGGCUGCUAAUACCGCAUAAGCGCACGGUACCGCAUGGUACAGUGUGAAAAACUCCGGUGGUGUGAGAUGGACCCGCGUCUGAUUAG